rnacentral:rRNA from 1 species
GUGCCUAUACAUGCAGUCGAACGAACUUCCGUUAAUUGAUUAUGACGUACUUGUACUGAUUGAGAUUUUAACACGAAGUGAGUGGCGAACGGGUGAGUAACACGUGGGUAACCUGCCCAGAAGUAGGGGAUAACACCUGGAAACAGAUGCUAAUACCGUAUAACAGAGAAAACCGCAUGGUUUUCUUUUAAAAGAUGGCUCUGCUAUCACUUCUGGAUGGACCCGCGGCGUAUUAGCUAGUUGGUGAGGUAAAGGCUCACCAAGGCAGUGAUACGUAGCCGACCUGAGAGGGUAAUCGGCCACAUUGGGACUGAGACACGGCCCAGACUCCUACGGGAGGCAGCAGUAGGGAAUCUUCCACAAUGGACGCAAGUCUGAUGGAGCAACGCCGCGUGAGUGAAGAAGGGUUUCGGCUCGUAAAGCUCUGUUGUUAAAGAAGAACGUGGGUAAGAGUAACUGUUUACCCAGUGACGGUAUUUAACCAGAAAGCCACGGCUAACUACGUGCCAGCAGCCGCGGUAAUACGUAGGUGGCAAGCGUUAUCCGGAUUUAUUGGGCGUAAAGCGAGCGCAGGCGGUCUUUUAAGUCUAAUGUGAAAGCCUUCGGCUCAACCGAAGAAGUGCAUUGGAAACUGGGAGACUUGAGUGCAGAAGAGGACAGUGGAACUCCAUGUGUAGCGGUGAAAUGCGUAGAUAUAUGGAAGAACACCAGUGGCGAAGGCGGCUGUCUGGUCUGCAACUGACGCUGAGGCUCGAAAGCAUGGGUAGCGAACAGGAUUAGAUACCCUGGUAGUCCAUGCCGUAAACGAUGAUUACUAAGUGUUGGGAAGGGUUUCCCGCCCUUCAGUGCUGCAGCUAACGCAUUAAGUAAUCCGCCUGGGGGAGUACGACCGCAAGGUUGAAACUCAAAAGAAUUGACGGGGGCCCGCACAAGCGGUGGAACCAGGUGGUUUAAUUCGAAGCUACGCGAAGAACCUUACCAGGUCUUGACAUCUUCUGACAGUCUAAGAAAAUUAAAAGGUUCCCUUCGGGGACAGAAUGACAGGUGGGGGCAAGGGUUGUCGUCAACUCCUGGCCUGAGAAAGUUUGGGGUUAAAUCCCCGCAACGAAGGGCAACCCCUUAUUACUAAGUUGCCAGCAAUUAAAAUUGGGCAACCCUAUUGGAGACAGGCCGGUGGAAAACCCGAAGGGAAGAGGGGG